CCUGCCCGGNCGGUGGUCCCACCUGACCCCAUGCCGAACUCAGAAGUGAAACGCCGUAGCGCCGAUGGUAGUGUGGGGUCUCCCCAUGCGAGAGUAGGGAACUGCCAGGC
rnacentral:rRNA from 1 species